rnacentral:snRNA from 1 species
AAGUGUUAUGACUCUGUUAGAAUUUGUCUGGUAGGUCUUCUGGCUUUAGCUGGAAGACUCUA